GUCAACAUGUCCGAGUGGUUAAGGAGAUAGACUCGAAAUCUGUUGGACUUUGCCUGUGUAGGUUCAAAUUCUACUGUUAACG